rnacentral:pre_miRNA from 1 species
AAUAAACGAAUUUCUGCGUUUUUGAUAUAAUUUUUGAUUCUUCGUCUUAUUUGAAAUUUUUUAAGAUUAAUAUUUUUAUUAUCAUUACAUGACAAAACAUGAAUAGUACUUUAUGCGUGACUAUUUUUAUAAUUUUUAAUAAAUUUUUUAAAUAAGACGAAUGAUCAAAUACUUAACCUAGGAAACUCAG